rnacentral:rRNA from 1 species
CAGUAGCCGCGGUAAUACAGAGGGUGCAAGCGUUAAUAGGAAUUACUGGGCGUAAAGCGCGCGUAGGUGGUUUGUUAAGUUGGAUGUGAAAGCCCCGGGCUCAACCUGGGAACUGCAUCCAAAACUGGCAAGCUAGAGUACGGUAGAGGGUGGUGGAAUUUCCUGUGUAGCGGUGAAAUGCGUAGAUAUAGGAAGGAACACCAGUGGCGAAGGCGACCACCUGGACUGAUACUGACACUGAGGUGCGAAAGCGUGGGGAGCAAACAGGAUUAGAUACCCCUGUAGUCCCUGUCUCUUAUAC